rnacentral:misc_RNA from 1 species
UAGCACCGCAAGUCGUAUUGUGCAAAAAGAAAAUAUAAUUUAGCCAAAACAAAUCCAAAUAAGGACCAUGGCCCACGACCGCGAGGUGCUGCGAAUGAUCUGGGAGGGCCAGAUAGGCAUAUGCUUCCAGGCGGAUCGGGACGAGAUCGUGGGCAUAAAGCCGGAGCCCUUCUAUCUGAUGAUAUCGCGACUUAGCUACUUGCCUUUGGUCACCGACAAGGUUCGCAAGUACUUCUCACGCUACAUAAGCGCCGAGCACCAGGAUGGAGCGGUGUGGUUCGACUUCAAUGGAACGCCCCUGCGCCUCCACUAUCCAAUUGGUGUCCUAUACGAUCUGCUGCAUCCGGAGGAGGACAGCACGCCCUGGUACCUCACCAUUCACUUCUCCAAGUUCCCCGAGGACACGCUCGUCAAGCUCAAUUCCAAGGAGCUGCUGGAAUCGCACUACAUGUCCUGCCUGAAGGAGGCGGAUGUGCUCAAGCACCGCGGCCUGGUCAUAUCCGCAAUGCAGAAGAAGGACCACAAUCAACUGUGGCUGGGACUGGUCAACGACAAGUUCGACCAGUUCUGGGCCGUCAAUCGGAGGCUGAUGGAACCGUAUGGCGAUCAGGAGUCCUUCAAAAACAUUCCCCUGCGAAUCUACACAGACGAUUUGGAUGUCGCACCCACGCCAUCGAUCUUCACGAGGAGACGCAGCUGCAGUGGAUGUCCGAGCAUCUGAGCUAUCCCGACAACUUCUUGCAUUUAUCGGUGGACUACAAGGAUGUUUAGCCCUAUAUCUAUAUGUAUAUAGCUAUAUA